GUGGGGAAUUUUGGACAAUGGGCGAAAGCCUGAUCCAGCCAUGCCGCGUGCAGGAUGAAGGCCUUCGGGUUGUAAACUGCUUUUGUACGGAACGAAAAGACUCCUUCUAAUAAAGGGGGUCCAUGACGGUACCGUAAGAAUAAGUACCGGCUAACUACGUGCCAGCAGCCGCGGUAAUACGUAGGGUGCAAGCGUUAAUCGGAAUUACUGGGCGUAAAGCGUGCGCAGGCGGUUAUAUAAGACAGAUGUGAAAUCCCCGGGCUCAACCUGGGAACUGCAUUUGUGACUGUAUAGCUAGAGUACGGUAGAGGGGGAUGGAAUUCCGCGUGUAGCAGUGAAAUGCGUAGAUAUGCGGAGGAACACCGAUGGCGAAGGCAAUCCCCUGGACCUGUACUGACGCUCAUGCACGAAAGCGUGGGGAGCAAACAGGAUUAGAAACCCUGGUAGUCC
rnacentral:rRNA from 1 species